rnacentral:rRNA from 1 species
UACGGAGGGGGCUAGCGUUGUUCGGAAUUACUGGGCGUAAAGCGCACGUAGGCGGUCUUUUAAGUCGGGGGUGAAAUCCUGGAGCUCAACUCCAGAACUGCCUUCGAUACUGGAAGACUUGAGUCCGGGAGAGGUGAGUGGAACUGCGAGUGUAGAGGUGAAAUUCGUAGAUAUUCGCAAGAACACCAGUGGCGAAGGCGGCUCACUGGCCCGGUACUGACGCUGAGGUGCGAAAGCGUGGGGAGCAAACAGGG